rnacentral:siRNA from 1 species
AUUACGAGUUUACGUUUUUGG